AUGAAGAACGCAGCGAAAUGCGAUAAGUAAUGUGAAUUGCAGAAUUCAGUGAAUCAUCGAAUCUUUGAACGCACAUUGCGCCCCUUGGUAUUCCGAGGGGCAUGCCUGUUCGAGCGUCAUUACACCACUCAAGCUAUGCUUGGUAUUGGGCGUCGUCCUUAGUUGGGCGCGCCUUAAAGACCUCGGCGAGGCCACUCCGGCUUUAGGCGUAGUAGAAUUUAUUCGAACGUCUGUCAAAGGAGAGGAACUCUGCCGACUGAAACCUUUAUUUUUCUAGGUUGACCUCGGAUCAGGUAGGGAUACCCGCUGAACUUAAGCAUAUCAAUAAGCGGAGGA
rnacentral:misc_RNA from 1 species